UACAAAAAAAGUGAGCAUUGAUAGCAGUUCACAAUAGCACGGUUUCACUAAUUGCUAUGAAUGAUUGAUUUGAGAUUUUGAUUUUGAAUAAUUUCUAUCAAUAGCAUUUAAUAAACGCUAUAAUAGAAAAUCAAUAAGCGAGAAGUUAAAAUCACGUAUUCCGUCAAUACUUAGCCAAAAAAUUUAGAUAGCCGCGAACACUUUAGCUUUUCUUCUUUUCUCAAAGACCUAAACAAAUUAUCUCAGAGACUAGAAAAAAAAAAAACUCUUAGGCUCACUAACAAAUCUCGUCGCUUCCACCGUUGAAGCUAGUUGCAGCCUCUUCCUCUAUCCUCGCCGUCACCGCCACUGUGGCUGACCGUCUCUCCCCACCCUCCUCCUCCAGUUCCCUUUCUCUCGAAUCAACUCAGCCAAACCCUGACUCCCCUCCAAUGGCUUCCGCCGCUGCCGCCACCACCAAAUUAAACAGACGCAACCGAAACCCCACAUCUCCUCCUAUCAAUCCCGAUCUAUUUCUCACGAUGAAGUUUCAAUCUACCGUGGAGGAGAAUCGCUUUGGGAACAGAGAAGAUGAAUUCAAGUAGAGAAAGGGAUGAUUCGAAGAGUUUUAGAUCGGGAAGUAGAGAGAGAGAGGACAUGGUAAUGGUGGUGAUGGACGGAUUAAUAUACUUCGAUAAGUAGAGAUUCAGUGACUCUUCUUCUUCUCCUUCUUCAUCCUCGCAAAAUGUGUUGCAGCUGGAGCUUGUACGAUUUGAGAGAGACUUGUUGAAUAUCUCGAGUGGUGGAACCGUAAAAAAAUGUAAAUGAACAAUAGGAAGCAAGCUGCGAAAGAGAAUGCUCGUAAUGAAAAUAAGAAAGUCGUGUCUUCACCUACACAGCUACACCUGUUGAAAAGCCUGAAGCUCCUGAGACAUGCACUAGUAGUCCAACAUGAGAUUAGUCGGAGAGAAGUGAAUCAAAAGAUUCUGAUGAUUUAAUGUGAUUUUAUUAUUUAAAGGAGAGGAUUUUGGAAGGUACUUUCUUGUUACUGCUAGCCUUUUGUGUUUGAUUUCUUAUUUUGCAGCUUGUAUAAGGGUCUUGCUCCACGUUGGCUGUGAAGUUGAUGAUCUUCAGAACAAGGAAGGAUAAUUCAGAUAGAUGAGCAGAAUAUACAAGAACAGGUAGUGGAAAUCAAUUCUUCUUCAUCUUUAGGAGCUGUUAAGAAAGGGGUGGGACAUGUUGAGGACGAAUGCUCACGAAAGAGCAUUGAUUUUAAGAUAAAAACUAUUGAGGAAACAAGAUUGAAGACUGUGAUAUAUGUUGAUGCUUUUGUACACAUGCUUACAGAGAUUAUGGACGGGGAUGAUAUGGGAAGGCGAAACAUAUAAAUGAGAUUGAAGUUUAUCUUUAUGAUGUUAGCUUUAUUUUGUUUAAAACUUUGUAUGAUGUUAUGUAAAAAAUUGUUAAUGUAGUAAUACUUUUAU